rnacentral:rRNA from 1 species
GCCUAUACAGGUGUUGCAUGGCUGUCGUCAGCUCGUGUCGUGAGAUGUUCGGUUAAGUCCGCUAACGAGCGCAACCCUCGUCGUAUGUUAUAUGUGUCAUACGAGACUGCCGGUAAAAAGCCGGAGGAAGGUGAGGAUGAUGUCAAGUCAGCAUGACCUUUAUAUCCAGGGCUACACACACGCUACAAUGGUCUGUACAAUGGGUAGCCAAGCCGCGAGGCGGAGCCAAUCCUGAGAGCAGGCCUCAGUUCAGAUUGCAGUCUGCAACUCGACUGCAUGAAGCCGGAGUUGCUAGUAACCGCAGGUCAGCAAUACUGCGGUGAAUACGUUCCCGGGUCUU